rnacentral:lncRNA from 1 species
AUUAAACAAAAUAGAAAUGCUGUCCACCCGGCCCAUCUUAAUCUGUGUAUUAGGCCCAAGUAAAAAUUGGUAGGCCCAUCAGAUGCCGGUCCAGCCCACGAAGUUGUUUUACUUCCUUUCUUUAUGGGGGAUGUAUUUGUAUAUUCUCUGUGUAGCAAUAUAUGCCGUUGCACCAUUUUUUACACAACCUUUAAUAUGAGUUUGUUGGGGCUUACUCGUAAUAUAUUUUAACGAUCCAAAUCGUUUAUUUUUUAGAAUAUUAUUCAUAGAUCUUCAUUGCAAAAAAUUAGACAAAU